GGGCGGGUGAGUAACACGUGAGCAACCUGCCUUUGAGAGGGGAAUAACGGCUGGAAACGUUCGCUAAUACCGCAUAAUGUACGGAUGGGACAUCCUGUCUGUACCAAAGAUUUAUCGCUCGAAGAUGGGCUCGCGUCCGAUUAGGUAGUUGGUGAGGUAACGGCCCACCAAGCCGACGAUCGGUAGCCGGACUGAGAGGUUGAACGGCCACAUUGGGACUGAGACACGGCCCAGACUCCUACGGGAGGCAGCAGUGGGGGAUAUUGCACAAUGGGGGAAACCCUGAUGCAGCGACGCCGCGUGUGGGAAGACGGUCUUCUGGAUUGUAAACCACUGUCCCCAGGGACGAAAAUGACGGUACCUGGGGAGGAAGCUCCGGCUAACUACGUGCCAGCAGCCGCGGUAAUACGUAGGGAGCAAGCGUUGUCCGGAAUUACUGGGUGUAAAGGGAGCGUAGGCGGGGAUGCAAGUUGGGUGUCAAAACUACCGGCUCAACCGAUAGUCGCACUCAAAACUGCAGCUCUUGAGUGAAGUAGAGGCAGGCGGAAUUCCUAGUGUAGCGGUGAAAUGCGUAGAUAUUAGGAGGAACACCAGUGGCGAAGGCGGCCUGCUGGGCUUUUACUGACGCUGAGGCUCGAAAGUGUGGGGAGCAAACAGGAUUAGAUACCCUGGUAGUCCACACCGUAAACGAUGAUUACUA
rnacentral:rRNA from 1 species